CCCAGGGCCUGGAGCCCGCGGUGUGGGCGGAGCCUGGCCGCAGGGCCCGCCUCCAGGAGGCGGUGCUGGUUUUCCGGAUGGGCUGCGGGAGGCGUGUCCACGUCUAGUAAGACCCACCCGCCCACGGAGGAUGGCGAGAAGGUCGCUCGCUGGAACGGGGCGAGGUCAGAGGGCAUUUGAAUGAAAACUUGGCUUAGGCUUAGGGUUUUGCGUGGCCACCGCCGCUUUCUGAGAGGUGUCCCCCAGCAGCCAGAGCUGACCCCCUUUCUGGGGGCCACAGGCCUGCUCCCACGUGGCCCUUGCUAAUACCGGCCCUGGGACAUCUGAUUCAGCCUUUCCUGGGAGGAAAUAAAUCUCCAAAAGGGCUUAAAGGAAACAAUCAGCACCGGCUUAGCCACCGGCUAAUGUUACAGCUCCGCGUCCAGUGACGGCCACCGAGUUCAAAGGAGCGGCCACCGCGCUUGGGCGCAGCGCACGGAAGGGCCAGCACGGCCACGCAGCGGCUCUGCAGACCCGAUGGGCCGGGCGGCUGCUGGAACCCCUCCUCGGGGAGGAUGGCAUCUCUCCUGCAGACACUGCCCGGAGCAGGCCUGUCUCCAUCCGUCCCUGGGCGUUGGCCACCAUCAGCCCUGAGUCUACAGGCGCCCACCGGGCGAUGCCCUGCUGUGGCCCAGGAGGCCCCGCUGGCCUGGGGGCUGCUGAGCAGCCUGGUUGGCACCGACCCUGAGCUCUGGGUCUUUCUUAGGGAAGCACCUGGCCAGUCUGAGCAGGAAGGAGGCCCCAGGUGGGAGACACAGCCGGCUCCCGGCAGCCGCUCGGCCCUGCCCGGCCUGGUCCUGACACCUCCCCCAGACUCUGGAGGUCCCAGCGGCCGGGUGGGUGGCCAGCCUCGGGCGAAGGUGCCAACCUAAACAGGCCCCACCUGCCGGCUCGGAGGCCCUGUUUGCACAGAGAGGGCGAGUCCCAGCAGGAAUAUUUUUAUCCCAAGGCCGGGAGGAGCAGGGCUUCCCUGGGGAGGCACAGGAACCCCAGUGGGGGCCCGGGAGCCAGCACAGGCCUGGUCUCUGCACUGUCCCCCCCCGGCCCGCGGGUCCUAGUGGAGCUGGAUUAGUCCUGGCUCCAGUGGGGCCACUGAACACAGAGGAACCCACUGCAAGGAAACCAGCUUAUGGCCAGUGUAUGGCCCUUGGAAUGAGGGCCGGGAAAGCUCAACCUGGGAACGAGCCAGGAAACGCCUCCGCUUCGCCAAGCUGCCCGUGAAGAGCUGCCGAAAGCCCCGUAAACCAGGGAGAAACGGCCAGCAGCACCCCCGGCCUGAGCACCUUGAUUAACGAGAACCCGGAAUAACAGGUUUAUUUUUAGACCAGCUUCUUGGGCAGAGAGGCAAAUGAAAACAAGCCGGCAGGGGCUAUUUUAAAAAGCAGUUCCCAAGAAACGUCCACUCCGUGUCCACCCAGUUCCUCGCUGUGAUGAAGGCCAGGCGGCCCAGGGCCGGCUCAGCAGAGGCGCCCGAACGCAGUGUCCGCCUCCUCGGCCUGAGGAGUGGCCCCCGGAGGGCCCGCAAGGCCGGCUGUGUCCCCCCCGCCCCCCCACUCCCCACAGGACGCCAGGCUCUCAACCAGCCAACCAGAAACCAAGUCGGCCGGUCCCACGUGAGGCCAUCGCCUGAGCACUUGAAUCCACUGUGUUGUGUGGAGCUGGGCCAGGCCUGGCGUCCCGGGCUCUCGGCCCGUCCCCCGGGGCCCCUCUGCCCCCGCAGGCCCUGCCACCCUGGCUCCUGGCCUCCAGACACCACUCACAUCUCAAGCACAUCUCUCCUGCACGCGUCCCCCACCCGUACCAGCUUCUGCCCAGACCACAGCGUCACCGUCACCUCAGCGAGGCCACCGCGGCAUCCCUGUGGGCUCCCGGACACUCAGCACCGUGCUGUUCUCCCCGCGUGUCCGUGUGUACAGUCUCUCAGUGGCCCGUGGUCAGUGGGGUCUGGUCCUAACACCUGGGGGCACACUCAUCUGCCAACAGGAGGCCAGAGAGCAGGAGCCCCCGGGCGGCCUCGGUGCGUCUGGAGCCCACGCAUCCCUCUCCCCUGCGCUUAUAGCAACCAGGGCGACCCAGCCUCCCGGUCCUCACCACCUGCCUCAGGUCACACCUGUCUGAAAUGAGAGUCGAGUGUAGGCCUCCACCGGCCCAGCCGGGCACGGGAGGAGCUGCUGGGGCAGGGGAAGCAGGUGGCCGGGGGCAGCUGGGCGGGAGGCACCAUGGCCACCUCCCUCCACGGCUGCUCCUGCCUCAGUCUGUCGGGGGAAACGGCCAGCACGCGACAGCCUCUCGCCCUCGUUCCACAGCGGAUCCCGCGCAGCCAGCUGUCACCUGCUGGGGGCGUCGCGCCACGCCUGCCCGUUGGAAGCUGUGCCUGGAGGCCUUCGUUCCCAGCAGCACCUGUGCCAGCCACCCGUGCGGCCGGCCUGUUUAGCACGUGGAGUGAAACUGUGAUCACCACAGUGAGCCCGCAAGCAAACCAGCAUCAACGCCCUGGUCUGAAUUUUUGGGUCUGAAAUUAAACUUAAUGUUGGUUUUGA